ACUAUCGUUAACUGAAUACAUAGGUUAACGAGGCGAACCGGGGGAACUGAAACAUCUAAGUACCCCGAGGAAAAGAAAUCAACCGAGAUUCCCCCAGUAGCGGCGAGCGAACGGGGAGCAGCCCAGAGUCUGAAUCAGCUUGUGUGUUAGUGGAACGGUCUGGAAAGUCCGACGGUACAGGGUGAUAGUCCCGUACACCAAAAUGCACAGGCUGUGAACUCGAAGAGUAGGGCGGGACACGUGGUAUCCUGUCUGAAUAUGGGGGGACCAUCCUCCAAGGCUAAAUACUCCUGACUGACCGAUAGUGAACCAGUACCGUGAGGGAAAGGCGAAAAGAACCCCGGCGAGGGGAGUGAAAAAGAACCUGAAACCGUGUACGUACAAGCAGUGGGAGCACCUUCGGGUGUGACUGCGUACCUUUUGUAUAAUGGGUCAGCGACUUAUAUUCUGUAGCAAGGUUAACCGUAUAGGGGAGCCGCAGGGAAACCGAGUCUUAACUGGGCGUUAAGUUGCAGGGUAUAGACCCGAAACCCGGUGAUCUAGCCAUGGGCAGGUUGAAGGUUGGGUAACACUAACUGGAGGACCGAACCGACUAAUGUUGAAAAAUUAGCGGAUGACUUGUGGCUGGGGGUGAAAGGCCAAUCAAACCGGGAGAUAGCUGGUUCUCCCCGAAAGCUAUUUAGGUAGCGCCUCGUGAAUUCAUCUUCGGGGGUAGAGCACUGUUUCGGCUAGGGGGUCAUCCCGACUUACCAACCCGAUGCAAACUACGAAUACCGAAGAAUGUUAUCACGGGAGACACACGGCGGGUGCUAACGUCCGUCGUGAAGAGGGAAACAACCCAGACCGCCAGCUAAGGUCCCAAAGUCAUGGUUAAGUGGGAAACGAUGUGGGAAGGCACAGACAGCCAGGAUGUUGGCUUAGAAGCAGCCAUCAUUUAAAGAAAGCGUAAUAGCUCACUGGUCGAGUCGGCCUGCGCGGAAGAUGUAACGGGGCUAAACCAUGCACCGAAGCUGCGGCAGCGACACUAUGUGUUGUUGGGUAGGGGAGCGUUCUGUAAGCCUGCGAAGGUGACCUGUGAGGGUUGCUGGAGGUAUCAGAAGUGCGAAUGCUGACAUAAGUAACGAUAAAGCGGGUGAAAAGCCCGCUCGCCGGAAGACCAAGGGUUCCUGUCCAACGUUAAUCGGGGCAGGGUGAGUCGACCCCUAAGGCGAGGCCGAAAGGCGUAGUCGAUGGGAAACAGGUUAAUAUUCCUGUACUUGGUGUUACUGCGAAGGGGGGACGGAGAAGGCUAUGUUAGCCGGGCGACGGUUGUCCCGGUUUAAGCAUGUAGGCUGGUUGUCCAGGCAAAUCCGGAUAAUCAAGGCUGAGGUGUGAUGACGAGGCACUACGGUGCUGAAGUAACAAAUGCCCUGCUUCCAGGAAAAGCCUCUAAGCAUCAGGUAACAUCAAAUCGUACCCCAAACCGACACAGGUGGUCAGGUAGAGAAUACCAAGGCGCUUGAGAGAACUCGGGUGAAGGAACUAGGCAAAAUGGUGCCGUAACUUCGGGAGAAGGCACGCUGGUGUGUAGGUGAAGUCCCUGCGGAUGGAGCUGAGACCAGUCGAAGAUACCAGCUGGCUGCAACUGUUUAUUAAAAACACAGCACUGUGCAAACACGAAAGUGGACGUAUACGGUGUGACGCCUGCCCGGUGCCGGAAGGUUAAUUGAUGGGGUUAUCCGUAAGGAGAAGCUCUUGAUCGAAGCCCCGGUAAACGGCGGCCGUAACUAUAACGGUCCUAAGGUAGCGAAAUUCCUUGUCGGGUAAGUUCCGACCUGCACGAAUGGCGUAAUGAUGGCCAGGCUGUCUCCACCCGAGACUCAGUGAAAUUGAACUCGCUGUGAAGAUGCAGUGUACCCGCGGCAAGACGGAAAGACCCCGUGAACCUUUACUAUAGCUUGACACUGAACAUUGAGCCUUGAUGUGUAGGAUAGGUGGGAGGCUUUGAAGCGUGGACGCCAGUCUGCGUGGAGCCAACCUUGAAAUACCACCCUUUAAUGUUUGAUGUUCUAACGUUGGCCCCUGACCGGGGUUGCGGACAGUGUCUGGUGGGUAGUUUGACUGGGGCGGUCUCCUCCCAAAGCGUAACGGAGGAGCACGAAGGUUAGCUAAUCCUGGUCGGACAUCAGGAGGUUAGUGCAAUGGCAUAAGCUAGCUUGACUGCGAGCGUGACGGCGCGAGCAGGUGCGAAAGCAGGUCAUAGUGAUCCGGUGGUUCUGAAUGGAAGGGCCAUCGCUCAACGGAUAAAAGGUACUCCGGGGAUAACAGGCUGAUACCGCCCAAGAGUUCAUAUCGACGGCGGUGUUUGGCACCUCGAUGUCGGCUCAUCACAUCCUGGGGCUGAAGUAGGUCCCAAGGGUAUGGCUGUUCGCCAUUUAAAGUGGUACGCGAGCUGGGUUUAGAACGUCGUGAGACAGUUCGGUCCCUAUCUGCCGUGGGCGCUGGAGAAUUGAGGGGGGCUGCUCCUAGUACGAGAGGACCGGAGUGGACGCAUCACUGGUGUUCGGGUUGUCAUGCCAAUGGCACUGCCCGGUAGCUAAAUGCGGAAGAGAUAAGUGCUGAAAGCAUCUAAGCACGAAACUUGCCCCGAGAUGAGUUCU
rnacentral:rRNA from 2 species